rnacentral:RNase_P_RNA from 2 species
AAUUUCGGGCAAUCGCGGUCAUUUAGUUGGCUGAGGAAAGUCCACGCUCGCACGAACUGUGAUGUUCGUAGUGUUUGUACUUAGCCCAAUAAGCUAAGGUAUCGUAAGAUAACGGCGGAAAAAGCACUAAGGUUUCGGCUAUGUGUGAAUAUCCUGAAAAGUGCCACAGUGACGGAGCAAUCUGGGAAACCAGGUUGGUGGAACGAGGUAAACCCUGCAAGCGGGCAACCCAAACUUUUGGUAGGGGCGCUUAUGUCUAAGGAAACGAACUAAAGACAUAGACAUUUUUGUAGAUAGAUGAUUGCUGAAGGUAAAUCUCCCAAAUUUACCGGAACAAAACGUGGCUUAUAGAA